rnacentral:rRNA from 1 species
AUUGAACGCUGGCGGCAGGCUUAACACAUGCAAGUCGAGCGAGCGGCGGACGGGUGAGUAAUGUCUGGGAAACUGCCUGAUGGAGGGGGAUAACUACUGGAAACGGUAGCUAAUACCGCAUACCAUCAGAUGUGCCCAGAUGGGCUUAGCUAGUAGGUGGGGUAAUGGCGCACCUAGGCGACGAUCCCGAGCUGGUCUGUGAGGAGGACCAGCCACACUGGAACCGAGACACGGGCCAGACUCCUCAGGGAGGCAGCAGUGGGGAAUAUUGAACAAUGGGCGCAAGCCUGAUGCAGCCAUGCCGCGUGUAUGAAGAAGGCCUUCGGGUUGUAAAGUACUUUCAGCGAGGAGGCGUUACUCGCAGAAGAAGCACCGGCUAACUCCGUGCCAGCAGCCGCGGUAAUAC